CCUACGGGGUGCAGCAGUGAGGAAUAUUGGUCACUGGGCGAGAGCCUGAACCAGCCAAGUCGCGUGAGGGAGUACUGCCCUAUGGGUUGUAAACCUCUUUUGUCGGGGAGCAAAAGCCGGACGUGUCCGGCUGUGAGAGUACCCGAAGAAAAAGCAUCGGCUAACUCCGUGCCAGCAGCCGCGGUAAUACGGAGGAUGCGAGCGUUAUCCGGAUUUAUUGGGUUUAAAGGGUGCGCAGGCGGAUUUUUAAGUCAGCGGUAAAAUCGUGGGGCUCAACCCCAUCCAGCCGUUGAAACUGGGGAUCUAGAGUGUGCGAGAGGUAUGCGGAAUGCGUGGUGUAGCGGUGAAAUGCAUAGAUAUCACGCAGAACCCCGAUUGCGAAGGCAGCAUACCGGUGCACAACUGACGCUCAGGCACGAAAGCGUGGGUAUCGAACAGGAUUAGAUACCCCUGUAGUC
rnacentral:rRNA from 1 species